UACGGAGGGGGCUAGCGUUGUUCGGAAUUACUGGGCGUAAAGCGCGCGUAGGCGGAUCAGCAAGUUAGGGGUGAAAUCCCGGGGCUCAACCCCGGAACUGCCUCUAAAACUGUUGGUCUUGAGUUCGAGAGAGGUGAGUGGAAUUCCGAGUGUAGAGGUGAAAUUCGUAGAUAUUCGGAGGAACACCAGUGGCGAAGGCGGCUCACUGGCUCGAUACUGACGCUGAGGUGCGAAAGCGUGGGGAGCAAAC
rnacentral:rRNA from 1 species